AGGUGCAGCCUCUCCCAUGUGCACCUGCGAGGCCUACCCUUUCUCCCGUCUCAGGGCCUUGAUGCCCUCGCCUGUAAAGUGGGCAUCAGCGAAGACCCCAGACGGGAAGGGCUGAGUGAGCAGGAGUGUGAGUAUGUGAGUUUCGAAUGGAAGCAUUCUUAUGCCCAGCAUCAGACACCCUGCAUUGAUAGAAGUGUGAUUCCGGCAAGGUAAUAACUGCCUCUCCCUGGGACUGACGUGACUCCAGGAGCACAGGUGGUGAAUGAGGAAGCUGGCAGGCCACCUGCCACCCACUGUGAACCCAAAUGGAGAGGCCUUCCAGACCCAUGCAGCAAUUCUGGGGGACUGGGGCCCGAGAGCGAGGUUCGACUCCCAGUCCAUCCGUCCCUGUCUGUCUGACACACAGUCACCACAUGCAUUCUGCUGCAAGGCCCCGGGGCUGAGCCCUGUGAAAUCCUUGCUCCAGGGGUCACACAGCGUAAGCAGGAGACAGGAAUAUGACAGGAUGGGAGGUCCCAGGGCUGUGUGCACAGCGACAGGCGUGAUUACAAGAGUGCACGGGGACUCACCCCGGCCAGAGACAGGCAUACAGGAAGGUUUCCCAGGGGAGUAGAGACUUGGUCCAGACUUCAGAGAAUUUGGAGAGGAGACUGAGAGUGAGCCUGUAUCUGGGAUAACUGAAAAAAAAAUAACUGGCUUAAAAAAAUCUCCAUGUGUGACAACUUACGUCACUAAAGCAAAGUGUGGAUUUGAGUUACUAGGUAGUAAUAAGAGUUUUGGAAAAUGGACACAGCCCUGCGUUUAAGGAAAUUGUCUUUUCAUGCUGGCUGAUACACAUGUAAGCACACACACGCACACACGCACGCACACACACCCCACCUGGCGUCUCCAUCUAGCAUCCCAGGGCGCCGUCAACCUUUCUGCUUCCUCCCUCAUCCCGUGUUUCCUAGAACUGCCAUGAAGCUGACAUGCAGCACGUACUCGCUGCUGGGCGUAGGUGGCCAGCCCAUGGCUCCUUCCUGUACCCAUUGCUGGCAGAUCCCGUGCCCCAGGGCAGCUCCUACCAUCAGUCCUGUCCUCUGCCCUUGCAUCUACUCCUUAGCCGCAUGUCAAGGGGCGCUGAGCAGGUGUGUCUGUGCUUCACUCAGGUCUCAUUAGUGGCUGUCAGUAAGCCCUGAAUUCUUCCAUAGAACCCUUAAAUCCUUCCUCAAUCCCCGCAGCCCACGAGCAAGCCUCCUAAAUCCGAUCAAUUAACACAGCCCAGAAAGUGGAUCCAUUUGCAGGAAAGCUAUAAGCUUGCACCUAAUCGUCCUUCCCUAGGGGACUGGUUAGAGCAACUGUAGGACGGCAGGAAGGAGCCCUCCAUGGACAUGAAAACAUCAGGGAGAAUGGUAUGUGUUGACGUGGAAAUAUGUCCAUGACAUAUAUUGCUAAGUUUAAAAAAUGUAGGCUCCAAACCAGCAGAUGAAUAUGAUUGCACUAGAUUCUGAAACGGGUGUGUUGGGCGAGUGUUUAUACAGAGAUGUCUGGGGCAGGAGAGGCCUGGGGGCCACCAAAUAUUCCCAGCAGUUACUGACAGUAAGACACCAGGAGGGUUCAAUUUUAAAAAUUGUCUUCUUUAUUUUUAGAAUUUUUUUUCAGUGGUUGAAUUUUUGACAUGGGUGUGCCUGUCUUCAUAAGAAGAAAAAGAAAAGAAAAAAAAAAACCAGCUAGGCAAUUUAUAAGCUUCCACGGAGCAUUUUUAAUAAAUAAGCAGUGUGGGGUUUUCCAGGUAAAUGGAAUAUGCAAACCAUGGGUGCCGGGGCUGGGAGGAAGGGACAACAGGGGACACUGCUUAGUUGUGUAGGGUUUCCUUUUGGGGUGACGAAAUGUUAGGGAACUAGAGAGGGCUGGUGCACGUUGUGGUUACUCUGAACAUUCUGCAUUUACUAAAUGCCACUGAAUUGGACACUUGGAGACGGUUAAUUUCCUGUUACGUGAAUUUUACCUCAAUAAAAAAGUGCCAGAUUCUCUAGUAAAACAAGUCACCUAA